UACGAAGGGGGCUAGCGUUGCUCGGACUCACUGGGCGUAAAGGGUGCGUAGGCGGGUCUUUAAGUCAGGGGUGAAAUCCUGGAGCUCAACUCCAGAACUGCCUUUGAUACUGAAGAUCUUGAGUCCGGGAGAGGUGAGUGGAACUGCGAGUGUAGAGGUGAAAUUCGUAGAUAUUCGCAAGAACACCAGUGGCGAAGGCGGCUCACUGGCCCGGUACUGACGCUGAGGCACGAAAGCGUGGGGAGCAAACAGG
rnacentral:rRNA from 1 species